UUAAACGGUAGGGUAUUGGCCUACCGUGGCAAUGACGGGUAACGGGGAAUUAGGGUUCGAUUCCGGAGAGGGAGCCUGAGAAACGGCUACCACAUCUAAGGAAGGCAGCAGGCGCGCAAAUUACCCAAUCCUAAUACAGGGAGGUAGUGACAAGAAAUAACAAUACAGGACUUUUUGGUUUUGUAAUUGGAAUGAGUUG
rnacentral:rRNA from 1 species